rnacentral:rRNA from 1 species
CCUACGGGGGGCAGCAGUGAGGAAUAUUGCACAAUGGACGAAAGUCUGAUGCAGCAACGCCGCGUGGAGGAAGAAGGUCUUUGGAUUGUAAACUCCUUUUCUCAGGGAAGAGAUAGGACGGUACCUGAGGAAUAAGUCACGGCUAACUACGUGCCAGCAGCCGCGGUAAUACGUAGGUGGCAAGCGUUAUCCGGAAUUACUGGGCGUAAAGCGCACGCAGGCGGCGCAUCAAGUUCGACGUGAAAGCUCCCGGCUCAACUGGGAGAGGUCGUUGAAAACUGAUGUGCUUGAGGCAAGGAGAGGGGUGUAGAAUUCCCGGUGUAGUGGUGGAAUGCGUAGAUAUCGGGAGGAAUACCAGUGGCGAAAGCGGCACCCUAGCCUUAGCCUGACGCUCAGGUGCGAAAGCGUGGGGAGCGAACGGGAUUAGAUACCCUAGUAGU